AACGAACGCUGGUGGCGUGCCUAAUACAUGCAAGUCGAACGUGAAAGUCCUUCGGGAUGAGUAAAGUGGCGCACGGGUGAGUAACACGUAGGUGACCUGGCAUAGGGUUGGGGAUAACUAUCGGAAACGAUGGCUAAUACCGAAUAAGCUGUGGGCCGUUAGAAAGCCCACAAGAAAGAUGGCCUCUAUUUAUAAGCUAUCGCCCAAUGAUGGGCCUGGGCAACAUUAGCUAGUUGGUAGGGUAAUGGCCUACCAAGGCAACGAUGUUUAACUGGUCUGAGAGGAUGAUCAGUCACACUGGAACUGAGACACGGUCCAGACUCCUACGGGAGGCAGCAGUAGGGAAUAUUGCGCAAUGGGGGAAACCCUGACGCAGCAACGCCACGUGAGUGAGGAAGGCCUUCGGGUUGUAAAGCUCUGUUCUUAGGGAAAAAUGGCGAUGUAGGUAAUAUCUAUAUCGAUUGAUGGUACCUGAGGAGAAAGCACCGGCUAACUUCGUGCCAGCAGCCGCAGUAA
rnacentral:rRNA from 1 species